rnacentral:lncRNA from 1 species
AUGUCAGUUGCUCUUGUAGAUUUCUUUGAAGUUGUUGUUUUCAAUGCCAGCCUCUUUGUUAUUGCUGCCAUGAUCUCAGUUAUAGCACAAAAUUCGCCCUCCCUCAUCCUUUGCAACAAGCAGGGCUUUAAGGAAGAGAAAGAAGAGCAGGACCUAGAUCAGACCCUCUGUGAGCAGUCUGAGGGCAAGAUGGUCUUUCAGCCUCAUGAGUGUGGCUGAGAACGGCUGUGGUUUUAAUGCCCGGCCUUGGAGCAUGAGGUGAGCGUAUUGUAACCCCGUCACGGUGGAGCCUGGGAAGCUCUAAGAGGGUUGGGUCGGUAGUAGUGUCAUCUAAGAAGAAGGUGCUGACCUCAGCAGCUUUUCCAUCUCUGAGCUGGGAGAUGUCUCUCCUCUUUGUUUCUUGUCUUGGACACAGAGCCUGCUCCUCACUAACUCAUCUCCCCACCCUCAGGGUCGUUACAUCAAAAUUAGGAACUUGCUUUUCAUUGACCUGUUAACUCUUGGGCCCCUACUUCUUUGAGUAGGUCUUGAUUAUCAUUGGCUCAUCUGCUUUGCCUUCCUUGGGGAGAUAGAAUUUAAGGAAACACAAACAUUCAUGUUUUCAAGUCAUGCUGAAUUGAACUAUGUUGGUGCUUUUAUUUUUCUUAUCAUGGCCCCCACAGUCCAUAAACAACUUGCUCUUCACUCUUCUUUGUUUAUCUCCCAAGGUAAGGUGGCCACAAGCAGAAAUUUAGGAAGUUGUUUCUGCGCCAUUAAAAACCUUGAGCUGUGAUACUAUUCGUUUUGGGCUUAUUUCAUAAGUACCUUGUGGCCAAAGUGGAAAAAUAGCUUUCUUUCAGAAUCAUGAACUGAAGUAUUAGCUAAUCAUAGACUUCAUUGUAUUUUACAGGGGAAAUUACAUUUUUAUAGCAGAAUUUACAAAUUUGGGGAAAAAAAACAAAAAACCAAAAAGAGUUUACAAAUUUGGGGAUUCUUGAAGAUCUUUUUUUGAAGAAGAAGAAGAUUAGCCCUGAGCUAACUACUGCCAGUCCUCCUCUUUUUUGCUGAGGAAGCCUGGCCCUGAGCUAACAUCGUGCCCAUCUUCCUCUACUUUAUACAUGGGACGCCUACCACAGCAUGGCGUGCCAAGUGGUGCCAUGUCCGCACCCGGGAUUCAAACUGGUGAACCCCAGGCCACUGAGAAGCGGAACAUGCGAACUUGACCGCCGCGCCACGGGCCGGCCCCAUCAUGAAGAUCUUUUUUUAUGUCCCUUGCGAAUGUCAAGAGUCUCCUGGAUCUGGAAAUAUGUUUGUAUGUCUGUCUUUCCUGCUUAGCCUGCACUGUCCAAUACUAUCACAACUAACCACAUGUGACCAUUGAGCACUGAAUGUGGCUAGUCUCAACUGAGAGGUACUGUAAGUGUAAAAUGCACAACAGAUUUCAGGCUUGGUACAAAAACAUGGUUGCAAAAUAUAUCAUUAGUAAUUUUUUUAUUGAUUACAUGUUGAAAUAAUAUUUUAGGUAUAUUGGGCUAAAUAAAAUAUAUUAUUUUUAAAAUCUUACUGUUUAU